UACGUAGGGAGCUAGCGUUGUCCGGAAUCAUUGGGCGUAAAGCGCGCGUAGGCGGCCCGGUAAGUCCGCUGUGAAAGUCAAAGGCUCAACCUUUGAAUGUCAGCGGAUACUGCCGGGCUAGAGUCCGGAAGAGGCGAGUGGAACUCCUGGUGUAGCGGUGGAAUGCGCAGAUAUCAGGAAGAACACCAACGGCGAAGGCAGCUCGCUGGGACGGAACUGACGCUAAGGCGCGAAAAGCGUGGGGAGCGAACGAGG
rnacentral:rRNA from 1 species